AAGUCGUAACAAGGUUUCCGUAGGUGAACCUGCGGAAGGAUCAUUAACGAAUAACUAUGGUGUCUUGGUUGUCGCUGGCUCCUCGGAGCAUUGUGCACGCCCGCCAUUUUUAUCUUUCCACCUGUGCACCGACUGUAGGUCUGGAUAACUCUCGCCUCUGGGCGGAUGCGAGGAUUGCUUGGUAACCCGGGCUCUCCUCGAAUUUCCAGACUCUACGUCUUUUUACACACCCCAAACGUAUGAUACAGAAUGUAGUCAAUGGGCUUCACAGCCUAUAAAACACUAUACAACUUUCAGCAACGGAUCUCUUGGCUCUC
rnacentral:misc_RNA from 1 species